rnacentral:rRNA from 1 species
UGGGGAAUAUUGCACAAUGGGGGAAACCCUGAUGCAGCGACGCCGCGUGAACGAAGAAGGUAUUCGUAUCGUAAAGUUCUGUCCUAUGGGAAGAUAAUGACAGUACCAUAGAAGAAAGCUCCGGCUAAAUACGUGCCAGCAGCCGCGGUAAUACGUAUGGAGCGAGCGUUGUCCGGAAUUAUUGGGCGUAAAGGGUACGCAGGCGGUUUAAUAAGUCGAAUGUUAAAGAUCGGGGCUCAACCCCGCAAAGCAUUGGAAACUGAUAAACUUGAGUAGUGGAGAGGAAAGUGGAAUUCCUAGUGUAGUGGUGAAAUACGUAGAUAUUAGGAGGAAUACCAAUAGCGAAGGCGACUUUCUGGACACAAACUGACGCUGAGGUACGAAAGCGGGGGGAGCAAACAGG